UACGGGGGGGAGCAAGCGUUGUUCGGAUUUACUGGGGCGUAAAGGGCGCGUAGGCGGCCACCGCAAGUCGGUUGUGAAAUCUCUGGGGCUUAACCCCAGAAAGGUCAAUCGAUACUGCGGGGGGCUAGAGUGCAGAAGGGGGCAACUGGAAUUCUCGGUGUAGCGGUGAAAUGCGUAGAUAUCGGGGAGGAACAUCAGUGGCGAAGGCGGGCCUUCUGGUCCAGUACUGACACUCAAGUGCGAAAGCGUGGGGGAGCAAACAGGG
rnacentral:rRNA from 1 species